CGCAAGCAUGCGAGGAAUCAACCGAGGUCGUGCGUGAGCACGUCAGCCCCAUGCGGGUCGGAAGUCUCGGUCCUGGGCUUGCAAUUUU
rnacentral:sRNA from 12 species